rnacentral:rRNA from 1 species
UACGUAGGGGGCAAGCGUUGUCCGGAAUCAUUGGGCGUAAAGAGCGUGUAGGCGGCUCGAUAAGUCUGCUGUGAAAGUCCAGGGCUCAACCCUGGAAGGCCGGUGGAAACUGUCGGGCUAGAGUCCGGAAGAGGCGAGUGGAAAUUCCCGGUGUAGCGGUGAAAUGCGCAGAUAUCGGGAGGAACACCAAUUGCGAAGGCAGCUCGCUGGGACGUUACUGACGCUGAGACGCGAAAGCGUGGGGAGCAAACAGG